UCCAGUGAGCCAAGAUUGCGCCACUGUACUCCAGCCUGGGCGAGAGCAAGACUCUGUCUCAAAAAAAAAAAAAAAAAAGAAAACACACACAAGGUGUAAAGUUAAGGGUCUUUGAAAACCAAAUGACACAGUGCCCAUAUCCAACUGACUUAAUAAAGGACAGUGAUUGGCUCCUGGAACAAAAGGGGGAUGACUUCAGGAGAGGCUUGAUCCAGCAGUUUGUCUGGAGACCCGUUACCCAUUAUCUGCUUUCUCUCAGGGCUGGCCUUGUGCUCAGGCUCGCCUGUGAGGUUCUGGGAGCAGCUCAGUCUUCCCUUGGGGCUGCAGAGGGGCAGUGCCACCCCUGGGCUCGUGUUCCCUUGCUGGGAAUCCUAAGGAAGAGGGGGAAGCAUUCUCUUUUUCAGAAGGCCCAGAAAAUAUCUCCUCAAGACUCAGUGGCUCUAUUUGAUUUCUCCCGCAUCCAUUAACUUGCUGCUCUUCUGGUGGGCAUGGAUGUGCUGUUGGAUUUCAGCCUAUCAGGGCCUGGCCUGGAGCUGGGGAUGGGGUCAGUCCCACUCAAGUCACAGAUCUGGGAAUGGUGGUUCUCCUGGAGUAACAUCUGGGUGCUGUCAACACCAGGAGGGGGCAUCCAUGGUGGCAAGAAAACCCAGAACUGUCCACUGAAUGGGCCAAAGGAGGGAAUUAAGAUCAGCCUUGGUGCCGCCACCCGUGGCCACUGUGGCACGGGGGCCUGUGCUUCCAGACCUGGGUGGUGCGUGGAAUGGUGAUGGUGACUAUGCGGAUACUCCGAGGGGAUGACGGCAUUCCCUGAGUGAUCACUGCGCCCCAAGCUCGGUGCUCAGCACUGCUCCACACACAUUGAGCCAUUGAAUCCUCAGCACCCUCUUGGGGCCACCAGUGCCCAGAGGUUGCCUAGAACUGCUCUGUCUGAAGGGACAGAUCCCUCUGUGUGUAACACUCUGUGUGUAACAGAGCACACGUGUGACCAAACUGACUUGGAGAAAGGGCCUGACCACAUCCACCUCAGUUCAGUUAUUGGACAGAGGUUUACGGAGCCCCUGUUCUGUGCUGGUCGUUGGCAUGGGUAGGAGAUGGAGACGACUCCCCAUCAUGGGCUGUGUUCUUGCAGGCUUUCCCCAUGUUAUAGGUGUGAACACUGAGAAUUCAGAGAAAUGAGGCCACACAGCUGGAAUGUUGCAGAUCUGAGAUCCAACCCCAGGGCCUUUUACUCCAAAACGUGUGCUUAAUGUGUGUCUAUACAUGCUGGUGAGUUUUCUUUUUAAACAGCUGAUCGCCCUCAGAUGCCCACUGCUGGCCUGUUUGGCUGCCCUUCUCCAGGCCAGCAGCCAAGACAUGGUGCUGCCCGCAGGGGCGACCAACUGGGAGCCUUGAAACAGGUGGAGCUGGCGAAGCAGGGCCCUGAGCUGUGUGCAUGGGGCCUGGCUGCAGAUGGCCCAGUGAAGGCUCCAUGCAUUUCCAUUUUUGAAGCUUGAGCCCUUUCUUCUCCAUGAGGCUGACCCACUAGGCCGGCUUGGUCACACACUAGCUGUGCAGUUCUAGCUUAGUUACUUUACCUCUCUGGGCUUCGGUUUACUCAUCUGCAACGGGUCGGCAAACUACUACCCUCAGCCCGAAUCCAGUCUGCUGCCUAUUUUUGUAAAUAAAGCUUUAUUGGCACACAGCCAUGCUCACUCAUUCACAGAGCGGCUGCAGCUGCUUUUGCACAGGGCAAGAGACCCUGUGGCCCGCAAAGCCUGAAGCCCCUCUAUGUGGCCCUUUCCGGAAAACCUGCCAAUCCCUGACCUAGCAGAUGGAUGAUUGUGUGCGGGAGAGCGUAGGCUCUGAGAGGGCAGGGCUGUGUCUGUGGCUCUCACCAGAGUGUCCCCUCCCUGUCACCAACCCAUGGGGCCAUUGCAAGACUCGGAGAGAAACUGUGUUCAGUGUUGAGCACAAGGCACACAGUGCGUGCUUAGUAACCUCCAGCUUUGGUUCCUCCCGUGAUUAAACAAAGGCGAGGAGGACUGCCCUGACAGGCUCAGAGGGCCCGGGGUCUGGAAUAGGAGCUGAUCCUCGGGUUAGACCACUCGGCUCUUAAAGUGGCUGCCGGUUGAGAGGCUUGUCUCAGCUGCUGCUAGGUGCAAAUUAAAAGGAUUAAUGGACACCGCCGUCUUUGAAAGGCUCAAGGCCCACCGAAGCCCCUUUAGCAGAGGGCUCUGCAUUCUCUCUUCCCCAGUCCUCCUUGUGUGCCCCCGUGAGUGGCGGUGACAAUGCUCCCGGAUGUGGGCCCCAAGGCCAGCGGCCCCGGAGCUGCCCGCCCACCCGUCCGCCGGCUAUUGUCUGCUCCGGCCUGGUGGUGUGGCGCUGGGCUUGUGGGGCCCCAGCGGGCAGGGGACUGUGGGAACGGAUUAGAGGUCCUGGGCUUGCUUUCCUCGUCUUGCAUAAACUCUUGAUCAAAGACAUUCCUGGGAUGACAGAGCCCUGUGAGCUGCGAGGCUGGCCCAGCGUGCGGGACGCACACCCCAUGCUGCAGCCCCUGCACAGGCCUGCCCUUGCUGGCCCUCGCUGGCCCUGGCUGCAGUGCUGACUCUGGGGCCUAGCCUUAUGGGGGGACUGGUGAUGGAGCGGGUGCCAGGAGGCAACACAGCCUUCCCCACCAGAUUCAGAGGCCAGACCCUCGAUGCUGGGCAGAGUGAGGCUGUGACUCUGCUUCCUGGGGUGCUUCAAGGAGGUCACCCUGCAUGCAGGGUGGCUGGAGGGAGUGCCAGCUGCAUGCCACUGCCACUGGGCCUGGCUUCUCUGGACUCCCACGGGCACUGCCCCAUCCCCUGCAACAGCCCUGCCCACUGUUAUCCCACAGGCACCGUCCGAAGUCCGCAUGCCCGCUCUGCCCAGCCUCCUUCCUCUGUCCCCUCGGGGACUUUCACUCCUCAUGACAAUUCUAGGUGUUGUCUGGGCCCCCGGGGAACCCCCGGCCCUUCCAGCCAUGGAGUCAGCUCCUGGCACGCGGAUCAGGUUGGACCCAUGGAUCUACAACUCAGCCCAGCAGCUUGGGGCUGCCCUGUGGGAGCCGACACGACCUCCCUUCCAUUUGGCCCCCUUCCUAGGACCCACUGUUUGCCAGGGUGGGGAGAAGGGAGGCAGAGAGGAAUCAGGGAGAUUUCCAUCCUGGAGGGACUCAGCCGGAGCAGGAAGGUGCCCAGGUAUGACAAUCCCAGACUCCCAGAGCCACCUGCCUGGUGUGGGGUGGGGAAGCCUCCAGAGAGCCCGUCCUCACAGUGAGUGCAGAGGUGAAGGUUCCUGUGGACCCAGGCGGUGGGCCAAGCAUGGAACAGGAAGCUUGAUGCAGUCUGGUGUGUCAGGAGCUCCUGGGCAAAGAUAUCGAGCUUACUGGGGCUCAAGGCUGGGUAGAGAUGGGGCUGAGUCCCAAGGACCUUGGACGGAGCUGACGGGAGAUAGGAAGGCCGGGGGUUGGGGGCAGAAGAUGAAGAAUGGAUGAGGACUGUGCCUGCAGGGACAUGGGCCAGGAGGCAGGGCAGGGCCCCUUGUGAGCGGGUAGGGGUGGUGGGGCACCUGAGAACAGGCUUCUGAGAAGGGGCUGCAGGGAGAGCUGACUGUGGAAGCCUUCGUCUCUGAAGUUCCUCAAAGGUCAGUUUUUUACCGUCACCCUCUGGGCAGCGCAGAUACUCCAACAAGGGACGAGGUCUUCACUGCAUCCCAGGAGGGGUCACAGGCCCCAAAGUGAUGUCAGUGGAGUUUGAGAGUUGGGAACAAGGGCCCAGAGUAGCCAGACCAUGACUUUGAUAUGGCUUGGCUGUGUCCCCACCCAAAUCUCAUCUCGAAUCGUAGCUCCCAUAAUUCCCACGUGUGUGGGAGGGACCCAGGGGGAGAUAAUUGAA